rnacentral:misc_RNA from 1 species
CUCACUGAUAACCUCUCCACCAGUAAGAAUGGCAAGAUCAUCUAAAUUUGCUCGUCUGUUUUCCCCAAAACCAGGAGCUUUAAUGGCACAGACCUUAACUCCUGCAUGAUGCUUGUUGAGAAUAAGCAUAGCUAGAGAAUCACUGUCCACAUCCUCAGCCACAACUAGAAGUGGUUUGUUUUUUUUUACUGCCAGCUCUAAUAUUCUCACAAGUGAAUUCAUGUCUGAAAUUUUCUUCUCAUAAAUGAGGAUCAAAGGAUUUUCAAGCUC